GGGACACUCCCGGACUUUGGGGACACUCCCGAGGUGACACCGAGCCCUUGGGGACACUCCCGGACUUUGGGGACACUCCCGAGGUGACACCGAGCCCUUGGGGACACUCCCGGACUUUGGGGACACUCCCGAGGUGACACCGAGCCCUUGGGGACACUCCCGGACUUUGGGGACACUCCCGAGGUGGCACCGAGACUUGAGGACGCUCCGGAGCCUUGGGGACAAUUCCAGACCUUGGGGACACUCCCGAAAUUUUAGGGCACUCCCGGGGUGACACCGAAUCUUUGGGGACACUGCCGAGCCUUUAGGGACACUGCUGAGGUGGCGCUGACCCUUUGGGGACACUGCUGAGCCUUGGGGACACUGCUGAGGUGGCACUGGGGUCUUGGGGACACUCCGGGACUUUGGGGACACUGCUGAGGUGGCACUGGGGUCUUGGGGACACUUCCGAGGUGGCACCAGAGCUCUGGGGACAAUCCCAAACUUUGGGGACAAUUCCAGAUUUUGGGGACUCUCCUGAAGUGACACCGAGCCCUUGGGGACACUGCUGAGGUGGCACCAAAGCCUUGGGGACACUUCCGGACCUUGGGGACACUGCUGAGGUGGCACUGACCCUUUGGGGACACUGCUGAGUUGGCACUGACGCCUUGGGGACACUGGUGGCCCCUGGUGACACCAAGGGCCAAUCGCGUGUCCCCUUUGUCCCCGCGGUGUCACCUGCGUGUCCCCGUGCCGCGUUGUGUAAGCGCUGCCACCUUUGUCCCCUCGCUGUCCCCUCUGUCACCUUUGUCACCUUUGUCCCCUCCCUCCUCCUGCCGGCCUGGGGCACCAGCAGGGGACAGGGGGGGGACAGAGGGGACAGAGGGGACGGGGGGGGACAGAGGGGACAGAGGGGACAGGGAGGGGACACCUUGGGGACAUCGUGGGGACAUGGGACAGGGUGGGGGGCGGUUCCCACGGUGUCCCCAAGGCUGUGCCACCCUCGGGCUGUCCCUGUCACUGUCCCCACCCCUGUCCCCAUGUCUGUGCCACCCCCGCCCUGUCCCCAGGCUGUCCCCACGGUGUCCCCAGUCCUGUCCCCGUGCCCGUGCCACCCCCGGACUGUCCCCGCCCUGUCCCCUCCCUGUCACCAUGGUGUCCCCGUGUUGUCCCCGUGCUCGUGCCGUUCUGGGACUGUCCCUGUCACUGUCCCCACGGUGUCCCCACCUUGUCCUGGUGCUUGUGCUAUCCCGGGACUGUCCCUGUCAGUGUCCCCAGCUUUGUCACCACGGUGACACCCCUCUGUCCCCUCAUUGUCCCCUCCCUGUCCUCUCUGUCCCCUCAUUGUCCCCUCCCUGCCCCUCUGUCCCCUCUGUCCCCUCAUUGUCCCCUCCCUGUCCCCUCUGUCCCCUCAUUGUCCCCUCCCUGUCCCCUCCCUCCCCUCCCCCCCCCCCCCCCCCCCCCCCCCCCCCCCCCCCCCCCCCCCCCCCCCCCCCCCC
rnacentral:lncRNA from 12 species